AGCUCCAAUAGCGUAUAUUAAAAUUGUUGCAGUUAAAAAGCUCGUAGUUGGAUUUCUGGUAUGGCGCACUUGGCCCGCCAAGGUUACUUGGUUGUGUGCCGGUGUGCGCCUGCCAUCCUUCUGGGGAACGGCUCUACCCUUCACUGGGUGGGAGUCGGUAUCCAGAUCUUUUACUUUGAAAAAAUUAGAGUGUUUAAAGCAGGCUUACGCUAUGAAUACAUUAGCAUGGAAUAAUAAUUUAGGACUUUGGUCUUAUUUUGUUGGUUUCUAGGACUAAAGUAAUGAUUGAUAGGGAUAGUUGGGGGUGCUAGUAUUCAGCGGCCAGAGGUGAAAUUCUUGGAUUCGCUGAAGACUAACUUAUGCGAAAGCAUUCACCAAGGAUGUCUUCU
rnacentral:rRNA from 1 species